GAAUUACUUGAAGUAGCUUUUCUUUUUAAUAUACAAUUUUACAUUUAAAUAUAAAUUUAUAGGUAAGAUAUUUGAGUACUACAGAAGACAAAAUAAUUCAGAGGGCAAAAGGAAUAAUACAGAGCUAGGAAUAAUAGAAAUUAUUGACAACAUCCUGGCUAGAAAAUGCAUGGGAAUGGAGAUGGGAAAAAAUGCAUUCUACCAUUUGAUAGCCCAGAAUGAUUAAGUUUAAGAAAAGGUACGUGUAGUGAAAUAACUUUUAUGAAGAUAUGCUAAACUGGAUAUUAAAAGGAUGUAACAUUGGACGGAGCCAGAAAUAGUGACAAAACAAAGUGUAGCAGAAAACAAAAAGAACACUCUUGUGAAUAAAAACCAUGUUGGAAUACAGAACUAGAAAAAUAGCUGUAUAAAAUGAAUUAUCAAGGUCGUCAUACAGAGCUUGGAUAUUGCAACAUAAACUGUAAUGAUAUUAUACAAAUGGGAUAAAUGAAUUAUCAUGAAUAGACUUUAAAAUUUUCAUUCUAUAGAUCUGAUUUAGCAACGUAUAGAUACAAAAAAGACUUUUUUUAAAUUUGCUGGUUGUCUAGCUAAUAAUAAAUUAUAUUUAAUCAUA